UCACUAUACUUUUACAGCUAUCGGAUUUUCCCCGACGUAAUAUCGAUUAUAAAACCAGCAUGAGACCUGUAGAUCAACCUGGUCCAUUUACGUACUGAAUGUAUAUCGAUUAGUACCGGUAUUUACACUGUUGCUGCGCGAUUUUAAUUAAGAAAUGAUAUAGGACGAUUGUUUCACUACUGAAGGGACAGCAAAACGUCAUCCGUUGAGAAUUAGUAUAAACAUAGAUAUUGAUUUACUUCAAAACUUACCAAACGUUCUUUAUAGAGUUAUGAUAAGUUUUUAUGAAUAUAUGUAAUGGUGGACAAUUUUGACUAGACGACACAAUGUAUGUUGACAUCACACAAUUUGCAACAACGAUUGUCUUCCUUGUGACAGCUUUGUUUACAGAUGUAUGUAAUGGCGGUAGUUACUGUAUGUAUCUACAUGAAGACUAUUAUACCUUCAAUCAGAAAUACUGUGAGGCCGGAUGCUGUAAUGAUUAUGGGGAUGAGGAUGAGAUAUGCUGUUUCUCAUGGUGUAAUACUUGAGCCGCGUCACGACAAAACCAACAUAGUGCGUUUGCGACCAGCAUGGAUCCAGAUCCGCGCAGUCUGAUCAGGAUCCAUGCUGUUCGCUAUCAGUUUCUCUACUUGAAAUAGUGUUGGUAAGCGAUCUGGAUCCAUGCUGGUCGCAAACGCAUUAUGUCUCAACGACGCUAAAUGUCGCACUUGCCACUAAAUGUCACUCUUGCCGCUUAAUGUCGCUCUUGCCGCUAAAUGUCGCACUAUUGUCGCUAAAUGUCGCAACCACCGCUAUAUGUCUCAAUAUUAUUUGCCGUUAAGUGUCGCAACACUACCGCUAAAUGUCGCAAUAUCAGAUUUCUUUUAUAUUUUGUGUUGGCCUUUAACCUCCCGGGUUUUAUCGAUAUUAAAGGUAUUAUAAUAUAUCUGUUAUUAUUUUGCCAAAAUCAUGUUACAUAGAGGAUAUUUGUUUGUUUUGCAUGUAAGAUUGAAAUAUAAUUUCACUGAGUGAACACCAGAUGCAAUAUUUUCACGAGUGGCGUAGCCACGAGUGAAAAUAUAAUAGCUGGUGUUCACGAAUGAAAUAUAUUUCAAUCUUAUAUGUAAAACAAAUAAAUUUUCUUUUUAUUUUAUGCUUUUUAAGUGAUUUUAAGUAUAUUUUACUGAUUUUGCCGCGUAACGUCGCGCAUUCUCCUUUGUGACGUCAUUAUAUCAUGACGUCACAUCAUCAGUUUUGAAAUCUAGUUCCGUUAAAAUUCACUAAUUUUGUUAAAUUUCUAACAUGAUGUAUGAUGACAUUGACUUUCUUUUCCUAAAGAAGUAAAAUAUACGUA